rnacentral:rRNA from 1 species
AUUGAACGCUGGCGGCAUGCCUUACACAUGCAAGUCGAACGGCAGCACGGGAGCUUGCUCCUGGUGGCGAGUGGCGAACGGGUGAGUAAUACAUCGGAACGUACCCUGAAGUGGGGGAUAACGUAGCGAAAGUUACGCUAAUACCGCAUAUUCUGUGAGCAGGAAAGAGGGGGAUCGCAAGACCUCUUGCUUUAGGAGCGGCCGAUGUCGGAUUAGCUAGUUGGUGAGGUAAAGGCUCACCAAGGCGACGAUCCGUAGCGGGUCUGAGAGGAUGAUCCGCCUCACUGGGACUGAGACACGGCCCAGACUCCUACGGGAGGCAGCAGUGGGGAAUUUUGGACAAUGGGCGCAAGCCUGAUCCAGCCAUGCCGCGUGAGUGAAGAAGGCCUCGG